rnacentral:sRNA from 1 species
AUGCGAUGAGUCGAUUGUGAUUUUUAAUCACAUUUGCGCUGGGGAGGUCAUUAAGGCAGGAGCCGACUUUGAUAAAUCGUGUGAACCUUUUUAUCACAUUCAGUGAUGAGUGCCCCGCGGAGCUGAGAAUUUUCUCAGCUUUUUUU